UCGGUAGCAAUUGUGGUUCGUCCUUAUCCAGGUUGCAGAGGUUGUGAGGAUCGGACAAACAAUCCGACAAGCGCUCCAUUGUCCAGCAAGUAUCAAAUCACCAGGUCUAGUUAACGGAAACAUCUGGAUUCAAGACCAAGAUCCGCAGCCCAGUCCCAAAAUGUUUCAUUUCCUGGGAAAAAGGUCGCCAACAUGGCAUAGCAAACCUAGAGUGCUCUUGGAGAACCUCAUGGAUGGAUUUGGUUAUGAGUCACUCAUCCCUUACACAUGAAUUGCCCAAGAUCGCCUGAAGAAGCUCUUUUGCUGAAAUUGUGACGUAUAUUUACUACUGUUACGCCAUCCAUACAUAAUAGGAUUGGCAAACAAACUGGAGAAACACGCAUACUAUAGAUUGCUGCUAUCCUAAGCUAGGUUCGAACAAAGUGGCACCCACCCGCACUGCUGAACAUGGUUAACCACACUAGUCAUCAAUCCGUGCCACUGCAAGGGCUAUCUCUUUUUGAAUGCGCAAAAUAAAAUGUGAUUUAUGGUGUUUGCUUAUUGGAGAUUUUACUAGCCAAAACAAACAGGGAAUGUUCCAUUUUAAAGAUAUUACUAUUAGUGACAGGAAAAAGUAUUUGUUUCCUCCUCAGGCACUUCUUUAAGAUUAAUAAAAUAAAUCCUUGUAUAUGGUGUCAUAAUUUACACUAACCUACAAAAGAAACAUGACAAAAAUGACUACAUGCUUAAAGAAAAGAAAGUGAACUUCAACUCAAGUGAAUCCAUCAAUGCUUCCCUUUGGCUAAUUUAGAUUAUCGAUCCAAAAUGAUAAUCAUGAUCUAACAGCAUGUAUCAUAGGCAAAUUAAGAAUAAUUAGCUGAAAAAAACGUAAUCGAAAGUGCUCUUGUGAGCUCGAGCUCACAUGCACCCUUUGCUACAGUAAAAUAAAAAAAAUCAUAACAAUCUGGAUUUUUUUGUCAACAAACAUUGAUGUGUUUUCCACAUGCGUGCAAAAACACGUGACAAAAUGACAUUCAUGCAGGCCUCAGCAAAAAAAAUUGAUGCUUCAAAAAGUGUUUUUUAGCAUAAUAUUGUUUUUUUUUUGCUGAGACCUCCACAAAUGUCAUACCAUCACGAAAAUUGGCACACAUGUGAAACAUAUAUCAAUGUUUGUUGUAAAAAAAAUCAGAUUUUUUUUUGAAUUUUAUUAGUGUUUUUUCGGAUUUUUACUGUAGCGAGUAAUUAUGAAGCUACUUCCAUAUGUAUAAAAUAGAUAGGAACUUACACAAAGAUUAUUUUUGGGGGGUGGGGUAAGAACGUAUAUCAUGCUAUUUGAUAUAUAGGCAGGUGAAUAAGAAUCCAGGCCCAAAAAAUUAUUACUUUCACCUUAUUUCAAGUGUGAAGCAAAUCUCCGUCUCUUAGUGGUGAAUCUGAAUACUAAAAAUUCAACUGAAUCCAUGUUUUCUUCUUUUUCCUCUUCAACCAUAAAUCUGGAAAAAAAUCUACGUCCCUUUUUCAUGUAUUUUUUCUAUAGAUAUUGUCGGUUCAUACAUGGGGAUAGCUUGCAACAGCAAUGAGAAAAUAUGACGGCAGCAUAAGCCUUAUUCUCACUGUAAAGAAAAGUUCAAGUAAAAAUUGUCAUUGUUACCUAAACAAUAUAACAUGGAUCAAAUAAGAAAGCAACUGGUAGACUUGUUGAUCAGAAGAACAAUCAUUGUUACCUAAACAAUAUAACAUGGAUCUAUGUUGCUAAACAUGAAACUCGUUAACUUACAUUAAUAUUGCAAGGGUUUGUGUUGUGCUGCAUAAUUAAAUGCACCGUACUAACUGGAUAAUCUGAAUGGUAGUACAUGUCGAACCAUUGAAAAUUCAAAUCCAAAGUGCAAGUGUGUGCUACCUUGGUUCUUUGUUGUUUCUGCACAUGCCUCGUUAUCGUACACCACUCUUUUCCCUUGGUCAAUCAUGAAUUUUACUGUUUCAUACUGGAUUCCUUGAUUUACAUAGAUCUUGAGGAAUCCGAUAGAGUGAACAUAUAAAGAGCUAGUAACAAACAGUUGUAAAAUUACACGGCUAUACAUGAAUAUACUUCAGUUAUACAGUGGACAAUGAACAGGAAGAUGAAAAUCUGUAGUACAAUACAAUUUGGCCUAUCGUGGCAACAAAAUUUGGAUGGUACUCUCUCCCUCGGUAAAUCCUGAAGUUUAUCCUUUCAUGUUCGAUUGCCUGAUUUACAAAGAUUUGGUAGGAUCCAAUAGAGUUGAUACACAGAGAAAGAGCUGGUAAUGAAACAGUGGUAAAUUCAUUCCGAUGUAUAUUAAUAUAGUUUAGUUAUAUGGUGGAAACUGAACAUGCCACUAUUGCAAACCACCCCAUUAGCUGAGGACAAUGAAAACCAUAGCACAAUACAACCUAAAAUUAAAAUUUGGCCUACCAUGGCAGCAAAAAAACAUAGGGCAACUGAGAUUAGCUAUAUAUGUCGACAUAAGAAAAAAUGAUCUAAUGUAAAUUUAGUGCUAGCAGUCAUCUAGCUUACCUAGGUAGAAAUAAGAGGACGGAUCAACACAAACAUCAAAUUGGAGUCCUGGAUCAUGAAAAUCACGCCUCAAUCCUCAUAAUCAAACGAAAAUAUUAAUUAACAGAACAAUAUGAUUUCACUUGUA
rnacentral:lncRNA from 1 species